rnacentral:tRNA from 1 species
GGAAAUCGCUCAGUAGUAGAGUGCAUGCUUAGCAUGCAAGAGAUCCUGGGUUCACUCCCCGGUACUUCCA